rnacentral:rRNA from 1 species
CGGAACACGUGAAAUUCCGUCGGAAUCCGGGAGGACCAUCUCCCAAGGCUAAAUACUCCCUAGUGACCGAUAGUGAACCAGUACCGUGAGGGAAAGGUGAAAAGCACCCCGGAAGGGGAGUGAAACAGUUCCUGAAACCGUGUGCCUACAAGUAGUUAGAGCCCGUUAAUGGGUGAUAGCGUGCCUUUUGUAGAAUGAACCGGCGAGUUACGAUUUGUUGCAAGGUUAAGCGGAAAAAGCGGAGCCGUAGCGAAAGCGAGUCUGAAUAGGGCGCAUAAGUAACAGGUCGUAGACCCGAAACCAGGUGAUCUACCCAUGUCCAGGAUGAAGGUAAGGUAAUACUUACUGGAGGUCCGAACCCACGCACGUUGAAAAGUGCGGGGAUGAGGUGUGGGUAGCGGAGAAAUUCCAAUCGAACUUGGAGAUAGCUGGUUCUCUCCGAAAUAGCUUUAGGGCUAGCCUCGAGGUAAAGAGUCAUGGAGGUAGAGCACUGUUUGGACUAGGGGCCCUUCUCGGGUUACCGAAUUCAGAUAAACUCCGAAUGCCAUGUACUUAUACUCGGGAGUCAGACUGCGAGUGAUAAGAUCCGUAGUCGAAAGGGAAACAGCCCAGACCACCAGUUAAGGUCCCCAAAUAUAUGUUAAGUGG